rnacentral:rRNA from 1 species
AUUCCUACGGGAGGCAGCAGUAGGGAAUAUUGGUAAUCUGGGAAACCGGGAACCAGCAACGCCGCGUGCGCGAUGAAGGCCUUCGGGUUGUAAAGCGCUUUUUAAAGGGAUGAGGAAGGACAGUACCUUUAGAAUAAGCCUCGGCUAACUACGUGCCAGCAGCCGCGGUAAAACGUAGGAGGCGAGCGUUAUCCGGAUUUACUGGGCGUAAAGCGUGUGCAGGCGGUUUGAUAAGUUGGAUGUGAAAGCUCCUGGCUUAACCGGGAGAGGUCGUUCAAAACUAUCAGACUAGAGAGUGGUAGAGGGAGAUGGAAUUCCGCGUGUAGUGGUGAAAUGCGUAGAUAUGCGGAGGAACACCAGUGGCGAAAGCGGUCUCCUGGCCCAUUUCUGACGCUCAGACACGAAAGCUAAGGUAGCAAACGGGAUUAGAGACCCCGGUAGUCUUAGCUGUAAACGAUGUGAACUUAGUGUCGGUGGGGUUAAAUCCAUCGGUACUGAAGCUAACGCGAUAAGUUCACCGCCUGGGGACUACGGCCGCAAGGUUAAAACUCAAAUGAAUUGACGGAAU